rnacentral:rRNA from 1 species
GACGAACGCUGGCGGCGUGCUUAACACAUGCAAGUCGAACGAUGAAGCCGGAGCUUGCUCUGGUGAAUUAGUGGCGAACGGGUGAGUAACACGUGAGUAACCUGCCCUUGACUCUGGGAUAACUGCUAGAAAUGGUAGCUAAUACCGGAUACGACCCUCGGCGGCAUCGCCAGGGGGUGGAAAGAAUUUCGGUCAAGGAUGGACUCGCGGCCUAUCAGCUAGUUGGUGAGGUAACGGCUCACCAAGGCGACGACGGGUAGCCGGCCUGAGAGGGUGACCGGCCACACUGGGACUGAGACACGGCCCAGACUCCUACGGGAGGCAGCAGUGGGGAAUAUUGCACAAUGGGCGCAAGCCUGAUGCAGCAACGCCGCGUGAGGGAUGACGGCCUUCGGGUUGUAAACUUCUUUUAGUAGGGAAGAAGCGAAAGUGACGGUACCUGCAGAAAAAGCACCGGCUAACUACGUGCCAGCCGCCGCGGUAA